rnacentral:rRNA from 1 species
UAAUACGAGUGGGGCAAGCGUUGUCCGGAUUUAUUGGGCGUAAAGAGUUCGUAGGCGGGUUAGUCAGUCGAAAUUGAAAUCCCAUGGCUUAACCAUGGGCCCGGUUUCGAUACUGCUAAUCUUGAGUUAGGUAGAGGUAAAUGGAAUUCCUGGUGUAGCGGUGAAAUGCGUAGAUAUCAGGAGGAACACCGAAGGCGAAGGCAGUUUACUGGGCCUAUACUGACGCUGAGGAACGAAAGCGUGGGGAGCAAACAGGAUUAGAGACCCUGGUAGUCCACGCUGUAAACGAUGAGUACUUGAUGGUGGGGGAUUCGACCCCUUCACUGUCGGAGCUAACGCGUUAAGUACUCCGCCUGGGGACUACGACCGCAAGGUUG